rnacentral:rRNA from 1 species
UACGUAGGGUGCGAGCGUUAAUCGGAAUUACUGGGCGUAAAGCGUGCGCAGGCGGUGAUGUAAGACCGAUGUGAAAUCCCCGGGCUUAACCUGGGAACUGCAUUGGUGACUGCAUCGCUCGAGUAUGGCAGAGGGGGGGUAGAAUUCCACGUGUAGCAGUGAAAUGCGUAGAGAUGUGGAGGAACACCGAUGGCGAAGGCAGCCUCCUGGGCCAGCACUGACGCUCAUGCACGAAAGCGUGGGGAGCAAACAGG